AUCCAAGCCAGCUUUAACAGAUAACGAUUGUGAUUUUCCUUUUCGGACUUGUCGAUUGCAUACUAUUAAAUGCUGUCGCAUUCGAAAUUCUGCAGCAACACUGCAUCAAGCAACAAUAAUUAAUCAAAUACUAUUAUUGAAUGUUGCUUAACUAUAAAGUGGUGAAUCUCUUUGAACCAUUUGAUCAUUGCCAUUAUAACAUGUACUGCUUGCAAUAUCAGAAGCAUG
rnacentral:misc_RNA from 1 species